rnacentral:rRNA from 1 species
UACGUAGGUGGCAAGCGUUGUCCGGAAUUAUUGGGCGUAAAGCGCGCGCAGGUGGUUUCUUAAGUCUGAUGUGAAAGCCCACGGCUCAACCGUGGAGGGUCAUUGGAAACUGGGAGACUUGAGUGCAGAAGAGGAUAGUGGAAUUCCAAGUGUAGCGGUGAAAUGCGUAGAGAUUUGGAGGAACACCAGUGGCGAAGGCGACUAUCUGGCCUGUAACUGACACUGAGGCGCGAAAGCGUGGGGAGCAAACAGG